AAAUGACAACAAAGCUCCAAUGGCUUUGGCUGCGUAAGCAGUUCGAGACAUUGAACACUUAAGUCCUGUCGCCUAGCAGCGGCAGGCGGGGCUCGGAGGUGCCUGGCAACAGAAACCUCCACU
rnacentral:tmRNA from 1 species